rnacentral:tRNA from 1 species
GCCGCCGUAGCUCAGCUGGUAGAGCGCCUGGCUGUUAACCAGGUGGUCGCAGGUUCGAAUCCUGCCGGCGGCG